rnacentral:lncRNA from 1 species
AUGAAGCUGCAUUACUGGGAUAUUCGCGGGAUUUAUUCAUGCUUACAGUGCCAGAGAGACACUGAGACCCCGAGGCAGAGUGCAGAAAGGAGCUGGACCAGUUUAGACCUUGGCUUAGCUUCAGCUUCAGCUGCACUGAACCAGUGGGAGUGUCUGGGCUCAACUCAACUCAACUCAACUGAACUUGAACUUGAGAUAAUGAUUCUGUUGCCCAAGGUUGUUAACCAGAUUCUUGUUAACUUAGUCAGUUUGUUUCAUGCAGAUGCCAUGUAUAGUAAUAUUAAAACUUUAUAUUGACUAUUUAUUCAAUCAGGUUUAAGUGAAAACACUUCUUACAUUUUUAUAUUAAAUUAUUAACUAAAUGACUCCUAUUGCACACAUUGUUGCUCUUCUUCACCACCUGAUUUAUACAGUCAUCAUGAAAUCUUAUUAGAUAAUGUUUAGUUACUUUGUGCUUACAUCACAGCAUAUCUAAUAUUUUCUUUAUAUACACAUAUAUACACACACUUUAUAUACAUACACACAAUAACACACAAUUUCAUGUCUGUCCCAAUGUUCUGGUCAACUCUGUUACAUUUAAUAUAAUAUAAUAAUACAAAAUCUGCGAACAGUUUUUUAUGAAAAUGUUUUCCAUGCACUCAGUGAUGUCACUUCCUGUGCCAGGAACAGAAGGCAGUGAGAUUUGACUGUGUUUGUGUUUGAAAUGCAAGAGAUGCCUUGCUGCCCUACAUUAUCUCACUUAGAAGGCAGUGUAGUGAUAAAAGUCUCCAAAUCAAAAAAGGGAAAGUAUACAUCCUAACACUGCUGAGGAAUCUGCAGCUCUCUGCAAUAUAUGAGUGUAAUUACAGCGUUUUAGAAAACUGGUUUAAAUGAUAGUGAUAGGGACACGGUGCUACCCAUGCAAAGAAAUCAAUAUUUCCUCAUGUAUUUCAAAUUCUCAUGUAUUUAAGAUAUAUGUUUCAAGUGAUUUUACUGUAUCAUUUUGAAAUAACGGGAUACCAAACUUAGGAAAAAUCUAUAUUUAAUUGUUCAUAAAACAGAUUUGGUCACUUGUGUGCUGUCCUCCACAUUCCCACAGCAGAUAUUCAGCGUGACUUUAAUUUUUAUUAUUUGUCUAAGCCCAAAACAGGCUAGAUUUCUCUUUUUUUUGUAUAAAGUAAAGUGAUUCUGGUCUUUUCAAAAACUUUU